UGGUCCUGGCCUUGAAGUCAGCUCUUACUUAGUAUACACAUGCAAGUUUCCGCACCCCUGUGAGAACGCCCUUAAACCUCUCUAAGAGAUCAGGAGCCGGUAUCAGGCACAAAAAUUAGCCCAAGACACCUAGCUUUGCCACACCCACACGGGAAAACAGCAGUGAUUAAUAUUGUGAAUAAGCGACAGCUUGAAGCAGCUAAAGUAAAGAGAGCCGGCAAAUCUGGUGCCAGCCGCCGCGGUUACACCAUUAGGCUCAAACUGACCUCCUCCGGCGUAAAGCGUGAUUAAAGUGUCCAAUAACCUGCAAUUUAACUAUAAUUAAGCUGUGACACGCUUAUUAUCAGGAAAGUCAAAAACGAAAGCUAUUGCAACCUUAACAACUUGAACUCACGACAACUAGGACACAAACUGGGAUUAGAUACCCCACUAUGCCUAGUCGUAAACUUUUAUUUACAUCCAAACCGCCAGGGAACUACGAGCUAAGCUUAAAACCCAAAGGACUUGACGGUACCCCAUAUCCACCUAGAGGAGCCUGUCCUAUAAUCGAUAACCCCCGCUUUACCUCACCAUUUUUAGCCUAUCAGCCUGUAUACCUCCGUCGUCAGCUUACCACGUGAGCGUAAAUCAGUGAGCUCAAUGCCCAUACAUCAAUACGUCAAUACGUCAGGUCAAGGUGCAGCAUAUAAAAUGGAAAGAGAUGGGCUACACUAUCUAAUCUAGAUCAUACGAAAGACUAUUUAUGAAACCUAGUCAGAAGGCGGAUUUAGAAGUAAAGAAAGACUAAAGUGCUUUCUUUAACAUGGCACUGGGGUGUGUACACACCGCCCGUCACCCUCUUCGAAGCCCCAAGACAGUUUUUAACUCACUCAAGCAUUAAAGAAGAGGCAAGUCGUAACAUGGUAAGUAUACCGGAAGGUGUGCUUGGAAA
rnacentral:ncRNA from 1 species